AGACAGAAAUAGUUAUUGUUGCUUUGGGUAGUAUCUUGUGUUUUAUUAAAUGUAUUUUUGGACCUGUUUCCUUGUGCUUUCCUGGAAUCUCUUCACCAGUAGAUUAAUGGAUUAAAAGUUUGCCUUUCUUUCUUUCUGUCUUUCUUUUCGGUUUUGGAAAUUUAUGAUUGGUUUUCCAGUGGUUCCGUUUCUUUUAUUUCGUUAGCAUUUACUGGUUCGUGGAUGUGUUAUUGCAAUUGUAUUAUUCUUUUCUGGUCCUGAUGGAGAGAUGUACCUAACUUCUUUCUGGAAACUUUUGAUUACGUUUUGAAAGGAAAGGUAGCCUUUUCAGAGGAAGUUGGCAGUGUUUUCUUAUAAAGUUGGGGUUCUUCAUGUCAGCUUUUUUGAUAUUGUUUCUGCGCUCAAGUAGGGUUUAUUAGUCUGGAAAUAUUAUUAUAAGGUAUUUAAGGAGGGCUGUAAAUUUCCUCUUAAAUGUUCCUUUCAAAGCCAGGAUUCCAAACUCUGCAAUAUGAAUGACUGUAAGGGUUUCAUAUCAAAUACGUCAUCGACUGUUAACGGAAGUACUUCUUUGGAAGGAACAUAAUGUAAGUUUUAGGCAGAAUUAGUUUUUCCUCCCUGGGAAUGCUUGUUUGCUGACCUAAUGUGCAAUAGUGAAAACACAUUUUCAAAGCUUUUAAAAUUAGAUUUUCAGCUGUAUGAAUAAUUUUGUGCAGAUGGGAGAUAAGCUACAAAGUGCUGGGAAAAUAAAUAGCAAUGAUUAUUGAUGUUCGUGGAUGUCAUGAAAACAUUAUUGAGAUAUAUAGAAUAUAUUGCAGAGCUUGGCUCCCACCUGGAGAGUGGGGAAGUCCCCUGUGGUCAUGCUUGUGGAAAAAAGCAAGGAGAUUGCUUUUCGUCUGUACUUGACUUUGUAGCCAAGCCUUUGUAGCCUGCUUGUUCCAUAUUGUUGUCAAUUAGAGAAGUAGAAAGGCUCUCUUCCCACAGCCCUCCCCUGCAUUGUAUCUCUGUUAGGAUGUGUGCUAGGUCUUCCAGACACCUUAGUUCACUGUACAGAGAAUUUUCCGGGUAGUCAAAGGUGUAGCCAGCUACACACCAGGUCUUCAUUCUAGAGUCUGUCCUGCCUGAUUCUGUUCUCGAAGGCCUAGCAGUGUUUCUCCUCUGUUUUGCAUUCCUUGCUGGUUAAUUGGCCCAAUUUAAGUAAAUUUAAAAGAAUCAAAUAAAGAAACCUUAAGACCACCUUUUUUAACAGAAAUUCUCUAAGGACUCUUUUUACCAAGGAAACGGGAUAUAGGCUGCUAUGAAGAUUAUAUGUAUGAAUAUAAAUUGAUACUUAUUUUGUGCUUUAUCUCCAAGAAGGGCUGCAGAGAUGUUUUUAAUAAUAUUCUACUUUCUUCUUUAACUUUUUUUUUUGAUUGAGGGGAUUUUGAAGAAUUGACUUCAAAGCUAGUAUACAAUGAGUGUUGUUAAACUGUUACUUUGCUAAUAGUGUGCAUAUAAAACAAUCCAUAUUGUCUAAAAAAUUGUCCACUUUCCACGCGGUUGUGAAAAUAUAAUUUAAAUCGGAAUGACCAUUAGAGCUAGAAUUAAAAUGAUUAAGCUGAAGAGGGGAAAAUGUAGGAAGCAAUUUUAACACUAUCUCUGAGAAACUAGAAUGUCUGAUUUUCAGUCUAGAAGUACGCAGAUGAAUUUUCUUAGGGGAAUUCAGGCAGUAUAAUCUAGCGCAGAAUCCCCUAUUAGCAAAUUAUAUUCUGUUUAACAUUUUCCCCCUUUGGCAAUAUCAUAGAGUGGACCACAGUAUUUUCCCUUAUGUUUUUGUUAUGAUUUCAUAACCUUAUGAAGCUGCUGUAUGAAAGAAGACUUGAGAUCCCUAAGUGAAUUGAAGAAACAGAGCCUUAUAAAAAACUAUAAGGCAGUGUUUUCUAGUUAAUUAAAAGCACAUUGAAAAUGGGAAAAUGGGCAGCUAGAAAAUGUGUUCAUAGGGGUUCUAAUCUGCUUGUUUGUCUAAAAGGAUUUUCCUAGGAAGUAAUGGAAGAUUGGACUUGAAUGCUUUGAUUUUCCUGAAGUUACAGCUUAAUGUUUAAUACUGACUGGGAUUUGACACCUGACCUAGGCACUGGAUACACAUAGAAUCAUAGAGUUGUGAUUUUUUUCCCCCGGUGUUAGGAACCUUACGAACCAGGAAGCUUCUUUUGAGUGGAGGCACCGUUGUUUCACCUGAAUUAGAUUUAGUGGAUUCUUACCAAUGCUCUUUCUCUUGAGAGGAAAAUUAUAAGCUACGUAUGAUCAGUUUUUUAUGAUGCUGAUCACUCAUUGAAUUAAACAACCACCACUAAGUAUCUUCAAGAAAUAAAGGAACAAAAGCUUGUGAAGCUGACUGCUUGGCUAGUCUGAUUUCCAAGAGAAAGGAUGCAAGUUCAAGUUUUCUUCAUAUGACACAGGUGCCUAGUAGCUAACCUGAAACAAAUGUUCUGACAGAUGGAAAAAUAUGCACAAAUCUACAUACAGAAAUGUCCUUUAAAAUGUUCAUUGAGAAAUGAACUUUUAUCUCACAAGAAAGAUAAGUGACAGGACAAAGGAUACAGGAUUUUGGAUAAAUAGCAGGGACAAUAUGUCAUGACAGAGAAAAUCGGACUGGCUAUUGUAUUUGCAUACUAAAUAAUCUACAGUUGCCCUGUUACAUAAUUUAGUAGAGGCACACACAUCAAAAACUCAUGAAAGAAACAAAUUUAAAAUGUAUUUUCUCUUUAUAAAUUGUUUCGUAAUGCUACUUAGUAUCUCUAUUUCUUUUGCGAACUUAUUUUAUCUUUUACCUUCCUUAAUACUAUUCUUUCCUGCUAACAUAAUCAGUGGAAAUGCUUACUUGUUUUCAUGUAUAGUUCUUACACUGAUUUUUUUUUUUAUCAUUGUUUGCUUAGAUUAAAUCUUGUCUGAUCUACUGGCCAUUAUACAGAAUUUCUUUGUGCUUUUGUAAUGAAUAAUCACCAUUUGCCUCUUGGCUGAAAAUGAGAUGCCAGGUGAAGAAUCACACAUGCUUUUUUUUAAAACUCUAAAUGCAGUAUAAAAGAAAAGAGGGUACACUGUAUAUGAAUUAUGAUUCGACACGGUUGGUUGCUGCUAGCGGCCAAAUAUGCUUUUCCUUUGCUGUCUGCUCCAAUUUCUCUUUGGACGGGUUAGGAGAGAGCACUACAUGUUCAGGUCAAGAUGUUUGCUCAGAAAUAGUAGUACAGUUGCAGCUGUGUUUGUUGGAGCAGGAGACUAGUUUAAAUAGCAUUACCAUUUAUCCAGUCCAUUAACAGAACUCUGUAAAAUAAUACCAACUCUGCACAAACUACAGGACAGUGUAAUAAAAUUACAAGCACUUGUUGACAGAUGGAAAGUGUAAGUAAAGAGAAAAGUCAAGUGAAGGGCUGUAGGUUGGAGGUUAAAAGUGCCGGCACAUACUUUUCUUAUGUCCAGACUCCAACUACCUCUUUGCUUCUCCUUCAAAACCGAGGUUGCAUUUUUUAUUAUCAGUGUUAAGAGUGGAGAACAUGAUUUUCAGAGCAUUAGGAGCUGGUUAAUUAAGAGAAGUUUCAGUGACUUUUGAAAUGGUCGAUGAUAAUUGAAACUUAUGAGUAGCAUAUACACAUCGUCCUGAAACAUGUAACUUAAAGGUGGUUUACCAGUGAGUGAUUCACACUCUUCAGCUUGGGUUUGCAGCUACUCAUCUGGCUCAUUAGAGAGGAAUUUCAUUGGUAGGAUCGUGGUUAGACAUUUGGUUAUAAAUAUUUGUUUUGCGGUUUUUAGUUUAUUUCUUUGAGUGUUAUUAUAUUUACCCAGACUUCUAACAUAAGCUUAAGUAGCCAAACUAUGUUGCAGAAACUCGUUUUUCACUUCUAUGUACUGAAACAGAACAAACAAAAAUAAAUAUGUAAGUCCUAGUGAUUCAUUUUCUUUACUUCUUUGAAUAAAAGCUCUUUAUUUCUGGUUAGCAAGUGGUAUUUUUUAUUCCCCAGUGAGCUUUGGAGGCACUAAAUUAUCUAACAUUGUAAGUAGUAGUUUUACAAGAACCAAGGACUCUUUUUAUGGCCUAGUGACUCCUUACCUGAGACAAAUAGAUUCUGAGUGCUUAAUUCAAUUAGUCAGGUUACAAUUCAUUUACUGUCAGAUAGGAUCUCAGGUUCUCCAAAUUGUUUUUGAUAAUAAUUGUUGAGAUUCUUUAGGCAGGAAACUUAAUUUUUGUUCUAUUAAGGUAAAAUUAAUUUGUAAAGCAUAGCAAAUAUCAUAGUGAAGCUGUUAUUUCCUUUUUUUCAUAGAUGAAGAGCCUUAGUUUUUUAUUUUGGUUUUUAAUGCAUGCUUAUUUUAAAAAGGUUUAGAUAACUCAGAAAAAUAGAAAAGUGGGAGUAUAAAUUAUUCAUUAUCUCACCACCCAGAUAUAACCUCUAAUAUACUUGUCAGUUAUUUGUUGAUGAGUUUUCUAUAAUUAUGCAUAUAAAUGCUGGUGUACGUGUAUUACAAAAACAUUUUUUUUUUUAAUAUCCCCAGGGUUUAGUGUAAGGCUUGACCUUUAGAAAGCUCUCAGUAAGUGUUUGAUGUAUUGAAUUAAAUCUCCAUCAGGUUCAGAGUUUGUAACUUGAAUGAGCAAACAGUAACACAGGGAAGGCAUUAUGAAUAAUGGAGAACAAAUUAAAUUUAAAGGAUAUCUUGGCUAAUUAAAUGUUUAAUCCCCUUAGGUUUUCUAAACAUCGAAGGGUAUUGAUGGACAUAGCAAAAUCACAAUGAUCCAUUUUUCACCUAAUCAACAUAUACCUUCAUUUAAUAUGAUGCUACCGCUCCCCUGCCUCCCCCCACCCCCCCACCCCCUCAGUUCUCUGAUGCCAAUUUAGUCUCAGGAUUCUUGUAUUCAGGGAUGAAAGCCGAAUACAACCGUGAUGCCUAUGUCAGAAGUCCUCUUGAAUUAAAUUCUGCCAGCUCUGAUUAAAGGGUGGGCUCCUAGAGGUGUCAGGUGCGUAGUUUCCUGCUUCAUUUUACUCUUGGCCUGUUUGGCCCCUGCCACAAUAAAUCCCACAGUGGUAGUGCAGGAAUUGCAGGUUACAGUUGCCACGGUUACCGCCACAUCUACAUCCUUACUCAUGGAGAAAGCUGCCAUGAUAGCUGCUGCUGAUCUCUCUUGCUGAAAAUGCCCUGCCAGAGAGCUUCGGGUGCAGAGAAUAAAAGUUCUUCAGAAGUGAUGUGUCUGUGUUAUCAUAGGAUACAUGAUUUGUGUCGUUAAUACAGAUCCCUUGCUAAGGGGAACAGAUUGACCCCUUAUCUUUAAAAACACAGAUCCAGUAAGAGAGAUAACCCUUGGGAAAGUGUUAACUGUCAGUGAUUAAAACGCCAAGUCUCUUAUUAUUUAUUAAGGAACUUAUUAAUUACUUAUUAUUGCGCCCAAGGGACUCUGUUCUUGCCAUUUCACAAACAGAGAUCUAUGAGGAGUUUUUAAUUUUAGGAGUUGACUGUCACAUAACCAAAGGUUUGUUUUUAAGUAAGCAGACAAAAGACUUGAUACACUGAUAUCUGGACACAUUGCACAGUGUCCAUAGCCACUUGCCAUGGAGGAAAGAAAAAAAAGGACAAGCCAUUGGCAGGAUUUAUUUUUGAUUUUGUUUAUAAAUCAACAUGCAGUACUAUGAUUUUAUAAAAGUAAUGAAGAUUAAGAUUGUACUUGAAAUUUUUGCCAGGCCUCCUGUGGAUAGUUUUUACCUUCAAGGGAUCACUAAUAGAAGCCUUGUUGCUGGAGGAAGUCAGAAGCUGGCAGGUUUCUGCUGUAGCCAGUCUGCCAAGUAGACUCUCUGAGUGUGAAAUCCACAGCAUAGUUCCUGGCAUAGGAAAGUCAAGUGUAGGAAGGCCUUUCCCACUCAAGUGCACUUGUUCUAAUGGUUGCUUCCCCAAAUGUAAACGUUUCUAUCUCCACCAACAAGUACUCACAGUUUGCCAACUUGAAUUUGUAAUACUGUGAUAGAUGCUGGGGAGAAGAGCUGCCAUGGUAUGUGGCCUCACAGAGUAUGUGGCAUUUGUGGACCUCGGCCAUUGCUAAGUAUGCAUGUAAAUUGAAGCCUACAGAGUAUGUGGCGAGUGAUUGUGCUUUUUUGAAAGAUGAAUUUAAGUGUAUGGUUUUCAUGUCAAAAUGAUAUUAUCGAAUACACAUGAUCAGGGAAUAUUGUAAAACAUGACUGUCAGUCAUAAAAUUGCCACUGCCAUCUCAAGAUUAGAAUUUGGUGACUGAAGUUUAUACGAAUAUGAAUUCUAGGAAUAAGUACCCAUGGGGUGUUAGUUCUAUUUAAUUAAUUUUAAUAUAUUUAUUUUAUGUUUUAAGACACGGAAAUCAAUUAAAUUAUUAUCGCGAGGGGCGGUAUAAAAUACUAGUGUUUAAAUAUCUACUCAGAUAUUAGUGGCUUUGCUGUCUUUGUAAAUCAAUGGACACCUCUGGAGCCAAGUUUUCUUAUCAGUAAAGUGGGAAUGAUAUUUACCUCUUGAGAAAUUUUCAAGUCACAACAUAGAUUUCGUGUUCAAAGGGUCAUUGUCACCUUUCAGGUUUGAUAGAAAUGGUACUUGCAGGAUUAUCAUUCUGUCAUUGCAAGAGAGGAUGAAAUAAUAAUCACACAAAUAUCCUUGCAAAUUGCCCAGAGUCAGCAAAUCUCUUGGUUUUCUUUAAUGUCUCUCUUGCAUUUAUUCUCAGUGUAGUAGCACAUACAUAAGCAUAACCACAUUAAUUUUUUAACACUGCAAAUUAACAUAAAAUGUGCAUUUGCACCAUUCCAUUUCUCCUUACUUGGCAACACAAGGUACAUUAAGGCCAGAAUGUUCUUAAUGAGGUCUCUUACCCUCUCCCAGUUAUGAUUCAUUUAAUUUUAAAAUUCUUAUAUAAAAUGAAUUAAGGGCAGAAAAAGAGACUGUGACUCAGGAACUAUUCAUGUUAGUCUGCAUAUUAAAUGGUUGUUUUAAUGAUGUGUUGUCCUGCAUAACAAAAGGAAGGAAAAAUACAGCUUAGAAGAUGCUGAGGGAAAAAAAAAGAAAAUGCCAAGUAAACUCCUAAAGCUAUAGGUAAACUAUUCUGAGAGUUAUUCAGGAGAUUUAUAUGUGUUGCUAAAGAACAUAUUUAUCAGUAAUUAAAAUUUUAGUUUUAAAAACAAGAUAAGACAAUUAUUCCAUCCACUUUUAAUAUCAAAUACAGUUUGAUCUGUGGGACAUUGACACUUCUGCCUCAGCUACAUGUAUGAUUUUCAGUGCAUUUUUAGACUAUAAACAUUUUAUCAAAAUGCAGUUCAAAUUACACACCAUUUAGCUUUAGGAUUUAAACAGUGAUUGAUAAUGAAAUACGUUUGAGUCAGAAGUUGUUUUGUUUUGUUUUUAUAACUCCAAUAUGUACAUAAGCUUUGCAUUCAGAUGAAUGUGGCAUAUGCCCUUUUCUUUACCACUUACCGCCAGGUUAAUUGCGAUCAUGCAGUUAUUUACUUGAUAAAUUGUGACCUAAGAAACUUGGGGCAAGAGUUUAAAAAAAACCCUAAACUCUAGAAAAGGAAGCAACGAAGAGUAAAAAAGCCAAUCUUUGGCAAUACCCAGGAUCUAGGGUAUGACAUGACUGUGUGAAAUGUUUUUAAGAGAACAUCUGUGCCUCUUGAAAUGCCCCCCGAGUGAAUGUGAACAGCUAAGUCUGGCAACUUGAUUUAAGUGUUAAAAAAAAAAAAAGAAAGAAAACCUUAAAGAGAAAUAAAUAAGUCUGGAAACAGAAUGGGAAAAGAUAGCUUUGCCCCGUCAUGAUAGGUUUCUUCUACUAGUGAGAGAUUAAAGCUUGAAGUAUGUGAAUAGCUGAGAACAGCACAGAGAAAGGUUGAUUGCUUCCCCUCCAACAGUUCCAAUGGAUUGAAAAAAGCCUAAUUUAAAGUUCUGUUUGUUCUGUGUCUUAAACCAUCAGAAUUCUCUUUUAGGACCAGAGGAAUGCUCUGGAGGAAAAGAAUCCAGGGAUAAAAAGUCAUUGCAAGCCAACAAUUGUUUCUAAUCCUCACAAAAUGCUGGAGAAAUUAAAUUUAUUCUUUAUUGCUCAAAGUGUUACCUAGGUCACUGGGCGAUGGGAAAAUUGCACUGGAAGUAGAGUAGGCACAGGCUUUGUUUUGUGUCUAGAUGCUUAACCUUAGACACGACAAGGCAUCUUAGAGUGUUGUGGGAACUUGGUUCCGAGUGUUAACACCAAGACUUUUAUUACCCUGGAUUUAUAAUAGGCUGUGCUGUCAGGAGAUGAAAAUGUUGUGUUUACAUUUCAGUGUUAAAUGAUCAUUUAAUUAACACCUAAGGAAAAAAAAAGUUGUGAGAUUCUUAGCAGCUUUUAUUGUUGGUUUCCUGGGAGGUUUUAAUAUCCAAGUUUCAUUGAGAUUUCUUUUUGUUAGUAGAGACACAAAAGACAUUAUAAACUUUUUAAGGAAGACAAACAGUUUAACCUUGACCCUCUUUUCCUAAAAUAGUAAUUUAAAUUACAUUCGAAAUCUGGUGAGCUUAUUUAAAAGGUUUCUAGAUUUGUAUCUUCAAAAUAUGUCUUAAUUAAACACUUAUUUUUGUGCGAACAUUUAAAUAUUAUUUAAUUUACCUUCUAAGUUUUCUGCUAUAAAACAUUUGAAGUUGCCAGUUAAAGGACUUUAUAAUACCGAUUAUUAUAUGUAUUUUACAUCUUUUAAACUACCGCUGUAGUUACAUUGUUUUAAGAAUCAGGGUCAAAAUAAGUAAUAUUAUUUUCAAGCAAAUUCUAUGGGAAAAAAAUUGCUGUUAUAUUAUCAUCAUCAUUAUUUAAUGAGAGAUUGUUACUAUUGUGUGAUGAAAGAUGUUUGUAUAUGGACAGUAGGAAGAAUGAUGCCAUUAAGAAGAAAAUUCAAAUUCACUUCAUUAAUUACUGAAAAAUUCAAUGCUAUCAAAUGCCUUCACUUAUUCUUGAUCUUUUAUAAAAAGAGUUACCUAAAAAAGAAUGGUCUUGAAACAGAUUGAUAACAUUUGGAAAACAUAAUAUGUACGUACUAUCAAGGGCUGCUGCACAAUCAGUAACACUUUCUUUUUCUAAAAGUAUUAUUAAAAUUUGUCAGUUAUUUGUCUCAUUUUAUCCAGAUAUAUAAUUUCCUAUUCCAAUAUAUGAACGAUUAAGAGAUAUUUACUAAGCUACUUACUGUUCAAGUAAAAUCUUUCUUAGCUUUUCCAGAAAUGAGUAUAUCAUUAUAGUGUAGUUUUUUUUAUUCAUAUUGAAACUAAAAAUGUUUAUCCCCUUUUUUAAGUUUAGGUUCAAAUGCCUCAGGAUAAAACCUCCUUUCUGUAUUAUUCAUGGUAAAAGACUGCAAGGAGGAUUGAAUGUUAUUAAAAUCUCUUAAUAGAAAGCCCUGCUUUGAACCAAGAAUUACGUUCUAGUUCACAAAAUACUGCUGAGCUUUACAUAGGCACUUAGUACAAUGUUAUAUGCUCUCCUUACUUCUAUCAAGUUUCAGUACUUCUCUAAAACUUUUUUUUAAACCCACAUUGAGUUUUUUUCUUCCAAAGCUGUUUCUCCAUCCAGAGGGUAGUAACAACAACAAAAAAAACCCAAGUAGGAAUAUUGCUUUAAGUGUUACCUCCUUUACAUAAGUAUCCAUCUUUUGAUUGAGGUACUUACAAGACACAAAAUGCUCAGAAGUUAAAAUGUAUGAAAGAGAAAGGACAAAAAAAAAAAAAAAAAAAAGGAGUGGCAAUAUCUGGUUACCUAACAUACUGGAUAACUAGUAUAUUCUAAAUGAUGUAGUGCAUUAUACCAGUUGAAAUUCCAAGCCAACCAGGUGUGUGUGUGUGUGUGUGUAGGUGUGUGGUUGGUUGGAGAUGGGGAUUCUGAAAGCUACAGAAACAUAAAUAUUUUGUGAAUGUUCAAAAUGUUUGAGGAAUAAAUAUUUAGGGAAAUUAUAGGACAUUUCUUUUAACAUAGAUUAAAUAUGUUGCUUUGAUACUAAGAAAGCCGCUGAUAUGUUGCUCUUAUAUUGAGAAAGUCAUUGUUAAAAUUUCAUGCAUUAAUUGUUUGGAAUCUCUAACUGGAAAUGAAAGAGAAAGAUUUCAAGAUUUGUUUUAGAUAAAGUUUCCAGGUUUGCAUCUUUAAAAAAUGGGAAUAACUCUUCUAAAUAUGAACAAUUAUACUGUAGCAAAUAUCUUUGACAGUUAUUCUAUUGAAACGGUUGCCUAUCAGGAGAUCAGAAGACAUGAUGUCUAGAGAUAGUCUAGUCCACUUUCCAGGGAUUAGGUAGUUAAAAUUAACUUCCCUUUUUGCACAAAAUCCCAUUUGCCUGACUUAAAAAUACCCACUAUCACCAAGUUCUGCAUUAGCGCUUUAACUUUCUCAUUGCUAGCACAUUUAUGCUAUAUCCCAGGCCAGCAGGUUUCCCUGUUGCUGAUUAGAAAUUCCUAGCACAUUCUGAACUCCUUCCUUGCUUCCAAUUAGGAGUAGCAUAGUUUACUGUCCUCUUGUAAGCCUCACUUCCUCUACCACAUUUUUCUCAACUGCUUUAAUUACCUCCAAAUGAUCAUCCAUUAUAAUGUAAUGGUUCCUAGUACAGGACUGUUGAAUCAGACUGCCAGGGUCUGAAUCACUUAAUGGGUCAACUUAGGAAUGUCACUCAAUUGCCUGCUUUGUGUCUAGAUUCUCCCUCCUGUAAGAAAGAGGAUGAUGGUAGAACUUACCUCAGGGAGGUGUUGUGUAAAUUAGUCUCUAAAGGACAGUAGUAAGUGCUAAGCAUUUUUUUUUGUUUUGUUUUGUUUUUCAUUAACUACCGUGAUUAUUAUCUAUCUCAUGUUAGGUAUCAUUUUCUAUUCAUAAUGUACGUUAAUUUUGCCAAGACUCUUGCUUACAUUUGUCUUUGUUUUACAUAUAGCAUCUAGUCUAGUGCAGGUUGCUUAAUAAAUACUUUGAAACUGAUUGCUUGACAGAAAUUAAGCUCAAAGAAGUCCAUAGUUUGCAUUUGGAAUAAGAUAUCUUUGUGUCGCUCAAGAGUCAAAAGACAUACUCCUUGUUGUGUUCCUAACUCUGCUGGUCCCUAGCUGCUGAUGCUAAGCAAAAGUACUUGAUUUAAGGACCAGUUUAUUGGUUUAUAAAAGUAUAUAAUAGGUCAGGUAAGAGAGGGGCAGUAAUUUAGCAUAAGGCCUCCUGGUGUCUAGGGAAUACUCAAACAUAAUGGAAGGAAGGAGAGGAAAUAAAAAUAUAUCAAAAAUUUGCUCUAGCUCUUUUUCAAGAAUUUAUAGGGAACUCUUCACAGGAUUUGCAGGAAUUAUAAUGGAAUUAUUCAUGGUAAUAAACUGGGAAUUAGAUAAUUAGAUUGUGGAUGAAUGAUUUUGAGAUUUUCUUCUUUCCUAUUGACAAUCUAAAAAAAAAA